GACGAACGCUGGCGGCGUGCCUAAUACAUGCAAGUGGGACGCAAGGACACACACUGUGCUUGCACACCGUGUUUUCUUGAGUCGCGAACGGGUGAGUAACGCGUAGGUAACCUGCCUAUUAGCGGGGGAUAACUAUUGGAAACGAUAGCUAAUACCGCAUAAUAUUAAUUAUUGCAUGAUAAUUGAUUGAAAGAUGCAAGCGCAUCACUAGUAGAUGGACCUGCGUUGUAUUAGCUAGUUGGUAAGGUAAGAGCUUACCAAGGCGACGAUACAUAGCCGACCUGAGAGGGUGAUCGGCCACACUGGGACUGAGACACGGCCCAGACUCCUACGGGAGGCAGCAGUAGGGAAUCUUCGGCAAUGGACGAAAGUCUGACCGAGCAACGCCGCGUGAGUGAAGAAGGUUGUCGGAUCGUAAAGCUCUGUUGUAAGUCAAGAACGUGUGUGAGAGUGGAAAGUUCACACAGUGACGGUAGCUGACCAGAAAGGGACGGCUAACUACGUG
rnacentral:rRNA from 1 species